GAAGCAAAGCCGCGAGGUAGAGCAAAUCUCAAAAAAACAAUCUCAGUUCAGACUGCAGGCUGCAACUCGCCUGCACGAAGUCGGAAUUGCUAGUAAUCGUAGGUCAGCAUACUACGGUGAAUACGUUCCCGGGCCUUGUACACACCGCCCGUCAAACCAUGAGAGUUGGCAACACCCGAAGUCGGUAGUCUAACCGCAAGGAGGACGCCGCCGAAGGUGGGGUUNAUGAUUAGGGUUAAGUCGUAACAAGGUAAC
rnacentral:rRNA from 1 species